UCCUACGGGAGGCAGCAGUGGGGAAUAUUGGACAAUGGGCGCAAGCCUGAUCCAGCAAUGCCGCGUGUGUGAAGAAGGCCUUCGGGUUGUAAAGCACUUUUAUCAGGAGCGAAAUCUGGCAUGCUUAAUACGUGUGCAGUCUGACGGUACCUGAGGAAUAAGCACCGGCUAACUUCGUGCCAGCAGCCGCGGUAAUACGAAGGGUGCAAGCGUUAAUCGGAAUUACUGGGCGUAAAGGGUGCGUAGGCGGUUCGUUAAGUCUGUCGUGAAAUCCCCGGGCUCAACCUGGGAAUGGCGAUGGAUACUGGCGAGCUAGAGUGUGUCAGAAGAUGGUGGAAUUCCCGGUGUAGCGGUGAAAUGCGUAAAGAUCGGGAGGAACAUCAGUGGCGAAGGCGGCCAUCUGGGACAACACUGACGCUGAAGCACGAAAGCGUGGGGAGCAAACAGGAUUAGAUACCCUGGUAG
rnacentral:rRNA from 1 species